AACGAACGCUGGCGGCAUGCCUAACACAUGCAAGUCGAACGAACCCUUCGGGCUUAGUGGCGCACGGGUGCGUAACGCGUGGGGAACUGCCUUUUGCUUUGGCAUAUCUUAGGGAAACACGUGCUAAUACCGGCUGUUGUCUUCCGACCAAAGGUUUAUCGGCAAGGGAGGAGCCGGCGUAGGAUUAGGUAGUUGGUGGGGUAAAGGCCUACCAAGCCGAGGAUCCUUAGCUGGUUUGAGAGGAUGAGUAGCCACACUGGGGCUGAGACACGGCCCAGACUCCUACGGGAUGCAGCAGUGGCGGAUAUAGGAAUGUGGCCUCAAGCCUGAUCCAGCUAUGCCGCGAGAGUGAUUAAAGCCGGCGGGACGUAAAGCUCUUUUACCAGGGAUGAUAAUGACGGUACCUGGAGAAUAAGCACCGGCUAACUCCGUG
rnacentral:rRNA from 1 species